rnacentral:tRNA from 1 species
GAGGGCUUGGCUCAAGUACCAGAGCAUUUGUCUAGCAAACACAAGGCCCUGGGUUAAAAUCCCAGUACAAUCA